ACGUGCCAACGUCGUGAGGAUGAGCUGCUGCUGCCCGGGUGCUGCCAGAACUCUGCCUGCUUGCUGGGGAGGUGCCAGUGCUUAUGAAUGACUUCCUCGCCUUUGCCAGUAUGAUCUUCCCCGGGCUGAGCUGCUUUCAUUGGGUUUCUGUAGCAUGGCCAGGCUCGCUUUUCUCUUCUGUGGCUGACGAAGGAUGUUCAAGACAGCUCUGUCCCUGUACAUCAGUGCCCUCCAAGGCCAGAAUUGCCUCAGAUUUCGCCCUUUGCUCAAAACAGCUCUGUGAUGAUUGCCUUUGGUGUUUAGGGUUACUUCUAAGGUUUUGAGAAUCUGAUGAUAUACAUUGAGAGGAGACAAGACUGGGACGUCGAUCACUGGCUCUGCAUGUUCUUGCCUUCUUGGAUGUGGCAGAGUGGUACUGAGGACCUGCUCCUGAUCCCCUCUCCUGCAGUUUCAGGGUGAGUUCUGUGCAUCUGGUGUUGGCAUCUUGUCCAUCAUCAGAAGCCCAGGCUCCGAGUCGCAGAAGGCUGAGUGCUGGGAAGGGAAGCUGGCAAGCCAAGCUCCGACAGCAUUACUGCCUCCAGGUGGUACAUUUCAGAGGCAAACACUAGCGUUUAUCCUCUACACUGGGAGAAUACUGAGGUACUAAAAAAACCCAUCCAAACAGGUUUGAAAAGAUCUAAGUCAUCUGCGGGGAGUCAAGGAUUCGUCAUGUAUCAGGAGAUACAGUAGGUGUUUAAGCAUUUGUGCGGUAUGGGGUGAGGAAGGUAGUGAACGCCUAUGAAAACUCAUUAUUUUCUGUCUUGUUUUGUUUCCUCUUUAAUGAGGAGCAGCUCCUUACAAGUUAUUGCAGAUUUCCUGCAAAAUCUCUUUCUAAUUUGCUUGGUUUUCUUACUAGUCCAGAGCAUGCUGAGAAGUGGUGUAAUCCACAGCAAGACCCAUUAAUUUCAAGGAACGAUUCAGCUUUGGUAAAGCUGAUUAGCUGAGAGUGUUAGGUGAUAGUUUUUGCAACAUAAGAAUUGUCAAGCUAUUAACAAUUUUUACAUGGAUUUUUCCGUUCUUCAUGGUUUUGAAAAGUAUUUUAAUUGCUGAUGGAUGCCGGGAGCACCUCCUUUUCUCCUCUAAAAAACAGCAACAAAAACCCAACCAAUCAAAAAAACCAGAAAGCUUAGUUAAGUGGCUGCGAGGAUUAACAUAGGCUAGUGGAGUCCCGGUGAAAAACCACUUGAGGAUGCAUAUCAAAGUUGUAAUAGUAAUAAACUGUGGACAGAAAACAAGCAAGAAGCUUGGAAUGCAGCAGCAGGCACAACAGUGAAGCAGGGUAGUGAAGGAACAAUAGCAAUAAUACAAUUUCUGUAUUAAAUCUGUUAAGAAGCUAUAAUAUACAUGAAAUAUAGCACCCUUCUCCUCGCCUGGUAGUAUUCACAUAGCACACAAAGCUGAACACACCAAUUGCAUUGCAUAAAGAGGAUUACUAUGUAAAAGAACUUUCUAGCAGUCAGGAAAGGAAGGACCGCUUCUCACGAAGGGUGUGACUGAGCUAUUGAAAUGAGAACAAUAACAGCACUCGGUGCUGAUGACCAUGGAAGUUUGAUGUCUGCAGGUUCUUGCCAGGCUCACCAUUUGCUUUGUUAAGAGCUGGAAGGAAGCAAAGUUGCUGCAACUUGAUGGAAUGCAUUGGGUGGAGAAGAGGAAACUCCGUUUUCCUGUCAAGUAAUUAUUUCAGCUAAUGCUUUUUUUGCAGUGCAUUGCCAGCUACAAAGUUGAGUGUAAAUACUGCGUGGGGAAGAUGGCAGAGCUUAUUUAGUAAUUUAUAAUUUUAAAAACUAAAAUAGGAGUGAAAUAGAAGUUGUACGAAGACAAAGAAAGAGGACACUGAGCAUGGCGCUGUUGUGCGGUGAUUAAGAUUUAUAGAGCCAAAAUGUUCUUUCACAUUGCUCCAGUAGGGAUGCAUCAGGGCAAUUUUGUCACGCUCUCUGUUAUAAGAAGUAAAUCGGGUAAGUUCCAAGCAGAGUUUUUUUGGUUUAUCCCUAUAGCUUUAUUCCUUAGUACAUGUAGAAGCACUUUCCCAGAUUUCUUUUCUUUUUUGUUUUUGCUAGGAUAUGCCAGGAAACAACCUAGGAAAUAAUAAGAUUGGAGCAGGAGAAAGUUGCUUCUAACCUCAGGACAGUGUGACAGCAGUGACCUGUGAAACCACAGGUCUGUGCUAUGAGAAGGAAUAGUAAAAAGCAUGGGUAAGGAAGGGAAAGCCAGGUGGCACGUGCUGCUUCUCAGCAGCUGCGUGAGAAUGGAGCAACUCCUGCUGAAGGCCAAACAUGAAGGAGCGUCUCAGCCAACAUGAUUGCUCGUAUCUUAAUAUAGCAGAACUCUUGGCAAAACAAGGGGAUGAGGACCAGGAACGGCAGGGAGGAAAGCCGGGUUUGCUUUCCAAACCCAUUUGGAGCGCAGAGAAAUUCUGCUGGUUCUUCAAGGCCCCUUCCUUCCAGCUCCCACCCUUCCUGCAGAUGGCUUCUCUCGUACGUGCCUCCCCCCACCCACAGCCCACUCUUCCGUUUCUCAUCUGUAUUUUCCUACUCGUUUUCUCCUGACAUGCACUUCUACCAUUCUUAGUUCCUCUCUGUGUUUUUAACUGAGUGGGUGGGUACCUUACUGUUAAGACAUACUGGGAGCAGAUUAAGAAAAUCCGAUGGGUUUAUAGGAUUCUGUAAAUUCUUUUCCUUUUUUGUGAAAGAAUUUAAAAUAAUUCCAAAAAUCUGUAAAAAUUUUGCUUUAUUUGGAACUAGAUGUCAUAUAUAUACAUUACAUUUAUGUCAUAUGAAAUGUUUUAGAGUGCAUAGCAUGGUCUUGUUUGAGGUCACUGCUGACCCUAACGCACAAAUGCACGCAUUGUGUAUCGUAGGCUUGACUUUUGUUUGUAGAGGGAUGCAGCAGCUUGCAGAGGAUGUAAUCGUUCUUCCUAAGAACUUGCAUCGAGACAUGCAAACAGAAAAUCUCUUCUCAAAUUUAUGUAGGACUUGUUUACACAGGUCUCAAACAGCAUGUCACCUCAUAUUGUCUUCAGUCAUAAGCUGCUCGCUGACUUUCAAUCUUCACCACUCAUCAACAGAAGAAUGUUAAACAUGCACCGCUGAUGCCACCUGACCUCUAUGCAACAGAUGAGCUGACCAGAAAGGCAGCAGGUCCUGAUCUUCCAAGACAUUCAGAACCCCCACGUGCACAGCCCUAAGAAACCUGUGCUGAGGCGUCGGACCAGGCCAUCUGCAGAGAUUCCCAUCCACCUCCGUUGUUCUGUUGUUCCGGCUUAUGUUCUGCAGCUCGCUCUGCUUUGCAGUAUCUCUGUCCAGGAAUGUUUGAACUGCAUUGUGAUGAAUUAACAAAUGCUUUGGCAAAGCGAGCAGAUAAUAUUAGUGAAAAAAUUAUUGCCAAAAUGCUCAAGGAUCGUCAAUGUAAGU